AAAAGGAAAAUUUCUCUCAAAAUCAUUUAAAUAAGUUUCAGCUUCUGAAGAAUGCACUGUGUUAACACCAUGAUUUCUUUGUGUACUUGGAACUUUAUUUUAAAAAUCUUUGUGUUAUGGAAAAUACCAGCAUUUCAUCAACACUUUCUUUAUUCUGAUGUAGUUAUCUAACAGCACCUCUCAUUUUCUAAGAGUGAUCUGAGUUCCAACUCCUAGGGCUAAAUACUAAGGAAAGAACUAAAUAUAUAUAGGUACUAAUGAAAAGAAGAUAGGUUUUAAAGUAUUUAUCUUAAAUAGGUGGUAUUUGUAUUCCAUCUUACUGAUUUUCCUCCUUUUUUAGGGAAUCAAAUUUGUUAGUUUUGGAAAUGAUUAUAUUUGUACAAAUAUAGAUAAGAAGUAACUUCCCUCAAUUUUUAAAAAUGUUUAAGGUUGCAGAUGAAGAGGCAAAGAAAGGAAGUAAACCUUUACGUGUCAAGAAGCUCUAUGUAAUGUCAGCCUUACUUAUAGAGCAACACUAUGAACAGGUGAAGAAUGCCCAGCGAGGAAAAGUUAAAGGAAAAAGUUCAGAGGCCACUUCUGCCUUGGCUGGUUUGCUGGAAGAGGAAGUUCUAUCUACAACAGAUCGUUUCACAGAUAAUGCAUGGAGAGGGGCAGAGGCUUACCACUUCUUUAUACUUGCACAGAGGCAGCUCUAUGAGGGAUAUGUGGACGCUGCACUGAAGACAGGUGGGCGUGUCACCUAAUGUGUAUAGUGUGUCUGAAUAUUAUAAAUUGAGUGUGAAGGGCCAGCUUCUUCAAUUUGCCUUUAUGUGGCCUUCAAUAACAUUUUUUCCUAUGGAUUUAUUUUCUUACGUUUGAGAUUAUGCUAUAUAUAAUUUGUCUUAGGCAUUCCCAUUUUUGAAGUUUUUUUUUAAUGCAGAGAAAACACAUAGCUCACAGAAAUGUCAGAAAUUUGAGAUAAGCAAAAAGAACGUGUAUAGCAUUCAUAUGGCUAGCCAU
rnacentral:lncRNA from 1 species